UAAUACGUAGNUCCCGAGCGUUGUCCGGAUUUAUUGGGCGUNAAGCGAGCGCAGGCGGUUAGAUAAGUCUGAAGUUAAAGGCUGUGGCUUAACCAUAGUACGCUUUGGAAACUGUUUAACUNGAGUGCAAGAGGGGAGAGUGGAAUUCCAUGUGUAGCGGUGAAAUGCGUAGAUAUAUGGAGGAACACCGGUGGCGAAAGCGGCUCUCUGGCUUGUAACUGACGCUGAGGCUCGAAAGCGUGGGGAGCAAACAGGAUUAGAUACCCUGGUAGUCCACGCCGUAAACGAUGAGUGCUAGGUGUUAGACCCUUUCCGGGGUUUAGUGCCGCAGCUAACGCAUUAAGCACUCCGCCUGGGGAGUACGACCGCAAGGUUGAAACUCAAAGGAAUUGACGGGGGCCCGCACAAGCAGUGGAGCAUGUGGUUUAAUUCGAAGCAACGCGAAGAACCUUACCAGGUCUUGACAUCCCUCUGACCGCUCUAGAGAUAGAGUUUUCCUUCGGGACUGAGGUGACAGGUGGUGCAUGGUUGUCGUCAGCUCGUGUCGUGAGAUGUUGGGUUAANNNNNNNNNNCGAGCGCAACCCCUAUUGUUAGUUGCCAUCAUUUAGUUGGGCACUCUAGCGAGACUGCCGGUAAUAAACCGGAGGAAGGUGGGGAUGACGUCAAAUCAUCAUGCCCCUUAUGACCUGGGCUACACACGUGCUACAAUGGCUGGUACAACGAGUCGCAAGCCGGUGACGGCAAGCUAAUCUCUUAAAGCCAGUCUCAGUUCGGAUUGUAGGCUGCAACUCG
rnacentral:rRNA from 1 species